UUCAUAAGCAACGCAGACUAGAGAUCUCGCUGAAUUGUUCCAUAGGGAAAUGGGCUUUGAUCGUCAUGUAAUACUGCUGUUCUGGCUAUAAACCAGCCAGAACAUUCCUGUACUUCAUUCACUUGGUUAAAUAUGGAGGAUGCUGUCACAAAGGCAUUGCCUUUACAACAUAAAAAUCAUUCGUAGCUGCUGGAAUGUAGCAGGACCCCUGAACAAUCUGAAAGCAUCUGCACUUCUUUUCAAGUUUAGGGUUUGGAGGGUGAAGUAGAAAAACGAAAGGCAGUAAUGCGUCUGGGCCACAGGUGGAAACUGUUCACAAUCCCCAUGAAACAACUUGAAGAAACUUUGUUCUGCAGUGUUUUUAAUUGCAAAAAUAAACUUUAUUCAUAAUAAAAUAUAUCUACGAA